rnacentral:rRNA from 1 species
GACGAACGCUGGCGGCGUGCUUAACACAUGCAAGUCGAACGAAGUGGCGAACGGGUGAGUAACGCGUAAUCAACCUGCCCUUCAGCGGGGGACAACAGUUGGACACGACUGCUAAUACCCCAUACUGAAGGUGGGGAUUGCGUCUGAUUGGCUGGUUGGAGGGGUAACGGCCCACCAAGGCGAUGAUCAGUAGCCGGUCUGGGAGGAUGAACGGGCCCAUUGGGAAUGGGAACAGGGCCAGACUCCUACGGGAGGCAGCAGUGGGGAAUCUUCCGCCAAGGAAGAAAGUCUGACGGAGCAACGCCGCGUGAGUGAUGACGGGCUUCGGGUUGUAAAGCUCUGUUAAUCGGGACGCGGUACCGGAAUAGAAAGCCACGGCUAACUACGUGCCAGCAGCCGCGGUAAUUC